rnacentral:lncRNA from 1 species
GACAGUCUAGUGACGUCGGUGUUAACGGGGGUCGACGUUUACUGGGUUGCAAUUAAUGCUCUUCACCUAAUUCCUAGGCGCUUAGACGUCACGUAGUCAAAAGGCGACGUCUAAGGCCUGUCUGGAAGGCGGGAAGACAAAAAAUUCUUCAAUUUAGACGUUGGUGUUGAGGGGAAGUGACGUCUAUGUGCCUGUAAUUAAUUAUGUUCACCAAACUCGAGGGCCUUAGACGUCGGCGCCCCAUCACAACUGUCGUGAACAUCCCUGACAAAAAAUCAAACGUCAAUCCGUUCACUUCCUAGAUGUCGGCUCCCCUCGAAACCGACGUCUAAUGGGUAUUCAAAAAGUCAGUUUAAAUGUUAACUUGGACGUCAUAUUAGUGGGAUAACCAACGUCUAUGUGACUAUAGACGUCGGUUUCUGGAGCAACCGAUGCCCAAUUUCAUUUUAAAUAAACCGUAAACUCUUCGCGGCAUUCAGUUUUUGAUAUCAUCUUCCUCUUCUCCUUUUUCUCUUGCGGCACCUCUUCUUUUUCUCGCUUGCGGCACCUCUUCUUUUUCUCUCUUGCGACAUUCCAUUGUUGUUUCUAAUAUCUUUAUCGUCUUCCUCCUCUCCUUUUUCUCUCUUGCGGCAUUGCAUCCUAGGUACGUGGUUUUUUUUUUUUUUUUUUUUUUUUUAUGCUUACUGUUUAAACUUUGUUUAGUUAAGUCUGUCAUUGAUUAUCUUCUAGUUCAACUGAUUAAAAUUUGCUUUCUUUGUGUUGUGUUUUAGUGUAGUUUUGUUCCUUUCUUGGGGUAACGUAAUAACACAUUCUCCAUUUGCUAGUUGCCUCCCAGAAAAAGCGACGUCUUGUGAAUUUCUUUUGGUCAUUUCAACCCAAAAACAACCCUGGGUCGUUGUCUAGUUAUCGUUUCACCAUGAUUUUCCCCUCUUG